ACUUUAGCUUGUUAGUGCUCGUUAGUGGUGAGUGUGUGUAGAGCUGAAUUCAGGUUCUCAGCCAGUCAUUUGGACUAUCAGUAGGCUUACAUUUGCCACUAAGAAUUAUGCUUAGAGUUGAUUUAAAUUUGCUAAUAGUUUAAUUAUUUAAUUUAAAAAGUUGAAAUCCUCAACAUAGCAGUUGGAGCUGGCUAAAUGCAGAGGAUUUAGAGUGCUGGAGCCAGUCCUGUGCAGUACAUGUCAACACUAACCCUUUUAAUACUAUGUUGAGAAUGUGAUGGACAGUUGCUGAAUGAUGGGAUGUGGCCUUCCUACUCACUGCAGCUUGGAAAAUGACAGAUUGUGACUGCUGAUCACUCAUACUGUAACGCUGACGUCUUUCGCCUCUUGAGCUGCAGUGAGACAAUUGACGCCUUAGGAACCGUCACACAUACUUCACAUGCCACUGAGACAUGUUGGAGUGCUGGCAAAAACUUUGGCUUAAUUUGUUUUGUAUCACUAUUCAGGACUUGUGAUGGAGGACUCCUACAAUCAGAUGACUUCUCACUCACUGUUCUCAUGUGACAUGGUGAUGCUAAAGAGAAAAAAAAACAUGCAUUCCUGCUACUCAGUCCUCCUCUAAAAUGACAAUCGACCUGUUCUUUCUCAUUUUGUACGAAAUGUUUACCCCCUGUCUAAAAUCUGUGAGCAUUUUUGGGGAAUUUUUAUUAUUUUCCAUUGAUCCUGUUCCACUUUAAUUCACAUUCAUAAAUGCAUAAUAGAAACACAAAGACAUUACUGUAUAUAUAAAUUAAUCUGUUAGGAAGAUCCAUAAUUAUUAAAAAGGUAGUGUUAACUUUUGAUAUUAUGUUUCUGCCAAAAACAAUUUGGGGCCAUGGGUAUUUUCAGAUUUCCUGGUGGAUUUCUGAUCUGGUCUGUUCAUCAUACAACAAUUUAUGUUGGUUGUUCAUGUGAAUGGCAGGAAUGUCUUUGGAGCUGCUUUUACAUAUUUAUCACCUGGACAGUAAAGUCUCAAUUCUUAGACAUUCUGAGUCAUUGCAAAACUAUUACAGUACAGAAGAGCUUCUUAAAGGGGUAUUCAGUAAUCCAUGAAUUUAUUACUGUAAAGGUUAUUUUCAUUAUCAAUUAAUCUGUUAGUUGUUAUUUUCUAUUGAUCGAUUUAUUGUUUUUUCUAUCAGACAACAGUGAAAAAUGCACAUCACAAUUUAAUCAUUUUCAAAUGUCUUGUUUUGUCCAACCAGCAGUCCAAAACCCAGAGAUAUUCUGCAAAUAAUAGAAUAAUAAAACUUGUUAGUUAUUUCCUUUUUAGGUUUCAGAUUUGAUGUUCUCAGUUUUUGUAGAUGAGAUGUUUUACUGACUCACACAUAACAUAAUGCUGCAUUACAGAGGCGUUGAUUUAACUGUGUGGGAGGACUUGGAAGUUAAGUGCAACUCCAUUAGUGCAUCAUUCAUUCUCAAAUGUGGAUGAUCCAUUUUGCAUAAAACGUGUUAUGUCAACCAAGAGCUUAAACCACAUUUUGUAUUUUCAGUUAUUUCAUGCUUGAAACUGUGUGUCAGUUGUAAACAUAUAUACAUACAAUUUUGCCAUGAAAUACUUAUUAAAUUAUUGGUUUUACUCUCAUUUUAAUGUAAAAUUAUCAAUGUGCAAAAUAAAUCAAACAACUUUCUUUCAA